UAGUCUGUGUGAUCUGUGGGAUAUUUUG
rnacentral:piRNA from 1 species